rnacentral:rRNA from 1 species
UCCGGUGGCGAAAGCGAGGGGGAAACACCCGUUCCCAUUCCGAACACGGAAGUUAAGUCUCUCAGCGCCGAUGGUACUGCCCGGGAUAGGGUGGGAGAGUAGGUCACUGCCGGAA